GACGGCCCGACUGUUUACCAAAAACGUAGCCACGUGCUAAUCCGAAAGGACUUGUAUACGUGGUGAGACCUGCCCAGUGGUGGUGUCUAAAACUCUUUUACAAGGGAGCUAAGGUCCAUCAAACGGCGGGGGUAACUAUGACCCUUGGCUAAAAGGGGGUCAAUAAAUCUGACUGUAUGCUGGAACAUCUUGACAGGUUUUCGGUACUCGUUUUCAUGAUUUUAUCGUCGUGAAUUCAGUAAAAAUUCGAAAAAUAGAGACAAUCAGCAGGAAACUAAAGAUUUAAAUAUCUAACCUUCGUAUGAGGGUUAUGAAAUCAGAACAAUUAAUUUAUUACUUAACUGGCUUUGCAGAUGGAGAGAGUUGCUUUUGUAUUGCUCUUAAAAAACAAAAAUCUGCAAAAGUUAAAUGGGUCCUUGAUCCGGUUUUUCACGUAACACAACAUUCAAAAGACAAAGAUAUUCUUUAUGAAUUUCAAAAACUCUUGAAUUGUGGAACAGUGAUUAAAAAAUACGGACAGGAAAAUACUUCACAAUUUAUUGUGCAAAGUAGAAAAGAAUUAAUUGAAAAAGUUAUUCCUUUUUUUAAAAAAUAUCCUUUGUGGACAAAACAAAAAGAUUUUCAAAUUUUUGCAGAAGUUGUUGAAUCAUUAAAUCAACAUAAACACAAAGAUAUAAACGAAUUUAAAAAACUUUUAAAAAAAGUAUUUAAAAUGAAUGGAGAAGGAAAACAAAGAAGAUACAAUCUUAAUGAAGUCUUAGAAUCUUUAGGAUCCUCAGAGACUAUACGUCAGAAUUAGAAUUUAUUUUAAUAAGAGAUAGUCCGAACUGCAUGGAGACAUGUAGAGAUUUGCUCGCGCAAAUCCGCUUCAAUUUUUUUGAAGUCAAUAUUCUUUUUGAAUAUUAAAGUAACAGAAAGCUUAAGGUAGCGUAAUGCCUUGUCAUCUGAAUGGUGACGUGCAUGAAUGGUUUAACGAGGUUGUUACUGUCCCCAAUCAGAGCCCUCUGAAAAUAUUGUCCGGUGCAAAGACCGGAGACACCCAGUGGGAAGCGAAGACCUUGUGGAACUUUACUACAACUUGUUGUUGUGAGUUCAGAUUAAAUGCAUAGCAUAAGUAGGAGCGUCGAGGCCAUGAUCUCGGUCAUGGUGGAGCAACCGUGUAAUACUACUCAUUUGAUUUGGGCUUGCUUACUAUUUAUAGGACAUCAGCAGGCGGGUAGUUUGGCUGGGGCGGCGCCCUGCCGAAAAGAUAUCGGUAGGACUCAAAGAUAAACUCAUCUAGCUUGGAAAUCUAGAGUUGAGUGCGAGGGCAAAAGUUUAUCUGACUGUAUUUUGAAAAGCAAGAAAUGCAGGAACGAAAGUUGGACCUAGUGAACCCACGAACAUUUUUAAUAGAUGUCGUGUCUGAUAGAAAAGUUACCCCAAGGGUAAUAAGCUUGUCGCGCCCGAUAGUCCGAAUUGACGGCGCGGUUUGGUAUUUCGCUGUCGGCUCUUCCUAUCCUGCGUGUGCAGAAGCACGCAAGGGUGCCGGAGUUCACGUAUUAAAAGGGAUCGUUAGCUGGGUUAAGAACGUCGUGAGACAGUUUGUAUGAUAUCUACUGGGUGUGUUGUUGUCUGAGUGGAACAAGUUUCUAGUACGAGAGGAACGGAACUUGGAUGCCUCUGGUGAGCAGUUGUCAAUUGGCAGGCUGCAUAGCUACGCAUUGUGUGAAUAAGAGCUGAAAGCAUCUAAGCUCGAAGUCAUCCGCAAAACGAGACAACUAAGGCCGCGAAAGAAGAUCGCGUUGAUAGAGUUAUUAUGUAAUAUUCAAGGUUCGCCGAGAAUUUCAGUAUAUAACUACUAAAAGCCUCAAAUUGUAUAUUU
rnacentral:rRNA from 1 species